UACGGGGGAUGCAAGCGUUAUCCGGAAUCAUUGGGCGUAAAGCGCCUGUAGGUUGUUUAAUAAGUCUGUUGUUAAAGCCUAGGGCUCAACCCUAGAAAAGCAAUGGAAACUAAUAGACUAGAGUAUGGCAGGGGUAGAGGGAAUUUCUAGUGUAGCGGUGAAAUGCGUAGAUAUUAGAAAGAACACCAGUGGCGAAAGCGCUCUACUGGACCAUUACUGACACUCAGAGGCGAAAGCUAGGGUAGCAAAAGGGAUUAGAUACCCCUGUAGUCCUAGCCGUAAACGAUGGAUACUAGAUGUUGUGUUUUCUCACAGUAUCGCAGCUAACGCGUUAAGUAUCCCGCCUGGGGAGUACGCUCGCAAGGGUG
rnacentral:rRNA from 1 species